UACAGAGGUCUCAAGCGUUGUUCGGAUUCAUUGGGCGUAAAGGGUGCGUAGGUGGCGCCGUAAGUCGGGUGUGAAAUUUCGGAGCUUAACUCCGAAACUGCAUUCGAUACUGCAGAGCUUGAGUACCGGAGAGGAUGGUGGAAUUCCCCAAGUAGAGGUGAAAUUCGUAGAUAUGGGGAGGAACACCGGUGGCGAAGGCGACCAUCUGGACGGAUACUGACGCUGAGACGCGAAAGCGUGGGUAGCAAACAGG
rnacentral:rRNA from 1 species